rnacentral:rRNA from 1 species
AGGGAGUUUGAUCCUGGCUCAGGAUGAACGCUGGCGGCGUGCCUAACACAUGCAAGUCGAACGAAGCAUAUUUAACGGAGAUUCGUCGAAGCUGGAUAUGACUUAGUGGCGGACGGGUGAGUAAUGUAUGAGCAACCUGCCUUUCAGAGGGGGACAACAGUUGGAAACGACUGCUAAUACCGCAUAACGUAUUUGGGUGGCAUCACCUGGAUACCAAAGGAGCAAUCCGCUGAAAGAUGGGCUCAUAUCUGAUUAGCUUGUUGGCGGGGUAACGGCCCACCAAGGCGACGAUCAGUAGCCGGACUGAGAGGUUGAACGGCCACAUUGGGACUGAGAUACGGCCCAGACUCCUACGGGAGGCAGCAGUGGGGAAUAUUGGGCAAUGGGCGAAAGCCUGACCCAGCAACGCCGCGUGAAGGAAGAAGGUCUUCGGAUUGUAAACUUCUUUUAUGAGGGACGAAGGACGUGACGGUACCUCAUGAAUAAGCCACGGCUAACUACGUGCCAGCAGCCGCGGUAAUACGUAGGUGGCGAGCGUUAUCCGGAUUUACUGGGUGUAAAGGGCGCGUAGGCGGGGAUGCAAGUCAGAUGUGAAAUCUAUGGGCUUAACUCAUAAACUGCAUUUGAAACUGUAUUUCUUGAGUGCUGGAGAGGUAGACGGAAUUCCUUGUGUAGCGGUGAAAUGCGUAGAUAUAAGGAAGAACACCAGUGGCGAAGGCGGUCUACUGGACAGUAACUGACGCUGAGGCGCGAAAGCGUGGGGAGCAAACAGGAUUAGAUACCCUGGUAGUCCCCU